rnacentral:rRNA from 1 species
AGAGUUUGAUCCUGGCUCAGCCUGAACGCUGUCGGCGUGAUUAAGACAUGCAAGUCGUACGGUGUAGCAAUACACAGUGGCGCACGGGUGAGUAAUGCAUCGCUAAUGUACCCUGGGGUCUGGGAUAGCCAGUCGAAAGAUUGGGUAAUACCAGAUGAGACCACGAACUGGCAUCAGUUUGUGCUCAAAGGGCAACUGCCCUGGGAUCAGGCGAUGUGGUAUCAGGUAGUUGGUGGGGUAACGGCCCACCAAGCCUUCGACGCCUAGCCGGACUGAGAGGUCGGUCGGCCACAUCGGGACUGAGACACUGCCCGGACUCCUACGGGGGGCUGCAGUAAUGAAUCUUCCGCAAUGCACGAAAGUGUGACGGAGCGACGCCGAGUGAAGGAUGAAGUCUUUCGGGAUGUAAACUUCUAAAACCUGUUAGAAAGUUCUGAUCAGCAGGCUAUAAGUGGCGACUAACUCUGUGCCAGCAGUCGCGGUAAUACAGAGGCCACGAGCGUUAGGCGGAAUCACUGGGCUUAAAGCGUGUGUAGGUGGAUCGGUAAGUACUUUGUGAAAUCCCACGACUCAAUCGUGGAACUGCUUGGUAUACUGCCAGUCUUGAGGCACUCAGGGGCGAGCGGAACAGAUGGUGGAGCGGUGAAAUGCGUAGAUAUCAUCUGGAACGCCAAUGGUGAAGACAGCUCGCUGGGGGUGUACUGACACUGAGACACAAAAGCCAGGGGAGCAAACGGGAUUAGAUACCCCGGUAGUCCUGGCCCUAAACAAUGUCCACUAGGUUGUGGCUCCACUGACGGAGUCAUGGCCGAAACGAAAGCGUUAAGUGGAC